GUGCUCGCUUCAGGAGCACAUAUACUAAAAGUGGAACAACACUGAGAAGAUUAGCAUGGCCCCUGUGCAAGGAUGACACGCAAAUUUGUGAAGCGUUCCAUGUUUUU